AAAGGAAUAGACGGGGACCCGCACAAGCGGUGGAGCAUGUGGUUUAAUUCGAAGCUACGCGAAGAACCUUACCAGGUCUUGACAUCCCGCUGCCCGGUAUAGAGAUAUACCUUUCCCUUCGGGGACAGCGGUGACAGGUGGUGCAUGGUUGUCGUCAGCUCGUGUCGUGAGAUGUUGGGUUAAGUCCCGUAACGAGCGCAACCCUUGACCUUAGUUGCCAGCAUUUAGUUGGGCACUCUAAGGUGACUGCCGGUGAUAAACCGGAGGAAGGUGGGGAUGACGUCAAAUCAUCAUGCCCCUUAUGACCUGGGCUACACACGUGCUACAAUGGACGGUACAGAGGGUUGCCAACCCGCGAGGGGGAGCUAAUCCCAUAAAACCGUUCCCAGUUCGGAUUGCAGGCUGCAACUCGCCUGCAUGAAGCAGGAAUCGCUAGUAAUCGUGGAUCAGCAUGCCACGGUGAAUACGUUCCCGGGUCUUGUACACACCGCCCGU
rnacentral:rRNA from 1 species